AAUGCAACAAGUCGCAGCAACAUUUCAUUCAGUUGGCAUAGACGUGAGCAAAUCAGAUACAGCAAUAAUACAAAUACAUAGAUUUAUGAAAUGAAAGGUGUGUGCAACAUGUUUGUAGCGCAAAGUAAGAAGGUCAAGCGGUG